rnacentral:lncRNA from 1 species
GGGAGUAGUAUUUAGCACCGAGUUGGGCUUGAUUCCGAGGUCUCAUGCCCUAGAACUACGUGCCCCCGUAGGUUUCUAAUAUACCCCAAGUGGGUUAAGAUAGUGAUUACUAAAGUUAAGGUUCUAUCCGAUGGCAAAGAUAGAAUAGCUCUCCCCAACAUGGGUAAGACGUUGGACCCCAGAUAGCUCACAUGAUUUAUGUAGGUUAGAAGAAACUCCCAAAGAUG